rnacentral:lncRNA from 1 species
CAAAAAGUGAUCGAUGCCAGGAAAAAAUUAAAUCAACGUCCACAAGAUCUGCUGCAAAGAAUCAUAGAUGCAGAAGAUGAGAGCAAUGGAGAAAUCAAGAAACUUUCAGACCAUAUUGUAAUUGCAAAUGCAAUGAUGUUUAUGGCAGCUGAUUAUUAAAAGUUACUUAAGUUGUCAGAAUGAUACCCGAGAAUUAUUGAUAAUAUGAAAUUUUUAAUGGUAUUUGCAGAUAUGACACGACAAGUUCUACUUUACGAUGGUGUAUUUAUCAUCUCGCUUGUAAUCCUGAAAUACAACGAAAAGUCAACGAAGAAAUUAAAUCCAACGUUUCAGACGAUGUAAACUGCAAUCUUUAAUUCCAAUUAAAAAUUCUACUGCUCUUGAGUUUUUGGGAUCGUAUGACGAAAGUCUAAAAUCCUGAAAAUUUUUUCAUGGGAGAUCUUUCCCAUAUGUUUGGAGUCUAUCCAAAUGGAUUUCAAUCGCAUUUUUAUGGGCUGCUGAAUCCAUCACAAUAUGAUAAAACACUUACUUGGUGCAAACAGGCCGCAAAAUUCAAAAUGAAUCUAUAGAAGAAGGCAAAAACUUUUCAAGGUUUCGCCUUCUGGUAGGACUUCUCUGGGAAACACUGCCUUCUGAAGGACCCCAUUUAGGCGUUAGAUAUAUUUUACAUUUUAUAAAUCCCGAAAAUCCAAAGCAUUAUCAAUAUCUUUCCAAUAUUCAGAUGCACCAGAUCUGUAAUCUUGCUUUAACGCCGACAAGAAAUAUUAAUUUUUCUUAUAAAUUUAAACUAUAAAAACAUUUUUCAUAAAUAUAUUUACUGAAAAAUCUAAAAUUUGUAAUAAAUUUAAUGUCAGUCUUCUUAAACUUAAUUAGGUAGAUGUGCAGUGUACGGACUUAGGCAGUUUUCAGUUAUUAAAUCAAGUUAUCUCAGAAACACUUCGCCUUCACCCAUUGACUUCAGUCGUAGUGAAUAGAUUAUGCUCAGACGAUUAUUUUUAUAAAGACAUCACCAUUCCUAAAGGUAGUGUUAUAAUGGUUCCAGUACAAGUGCUGCAAAACGAUCAAGCUUAUUGGAGUGAACCUGAUAAAUUCAAUCCCUACAGAUUUUCACCUGAGGAACGGCAAAAAAUUGAUUCCAUCAUUUACCAACCAUUCGGUGCAGGGCACAGAAUAUGUAUAGGUCAAAGGUUAGCAAUAACAAUACUAAGAUUGGUGCUGGCAAACCUUCUUCGAUCAUUCAAGUUAGAGAUAUAUAAAGAUAAAGAAGUCGAAAUAGUGUCUUCAUUUUUCAUAAAUUCUCCUAAGGGUGGAACUAUCAUCAAGGCAACUCCAUUACAAGUUUGAUCAAUUCUAGCUUUCUAUUAAUGUAAUGAGAAUCAUAAAUAAAAUUAUAAUUGUAGACAAUUGUAUGAAAUUGAAAUAUCUGUACAUAGAAAUUAUUUUAUUUUCAACUGCAAAAUAAUUUAAAGUCUGAAAUGUUAUUGGAAUACCCUGACAUUUAAUUUGAAUAAAUAGAUUUCGUGAUUUGCAUAAUUAUUUAUAAUAAAUGAAGGAUUAAAUUCUAUAAUACGAAGUGUCCUAAAAGUUUCGAAUUAAUGGCAUUCACAGAAAACUUGCUUUGCUGCAUAUUCUAUGUUCAUACACGUUUGCAAUAUGAUUCUACGUGUUCUUCUUGAAGGUCUUCAGUUUUUGAGUCUUUGUAUGACAUUCUAAUGAGUCUUACUAGCACAUUGAAAUAGUUAGCUACUUAUCUACAAUCUAUUAAGUUCCACAAUAAAUAUAAGCAGAAUGUUUAAAGUGAAACUUGAAAUACCCUAAGAGGUUUUCAUAGUUCUGAAAAUAAAAAUUGAAUUUAUGAUUGCCUUUGAAGCAAUGAAGCGAUGAAAUUAAUCUGCAAAUUGAUAUUAUAUUUGA